GCUGAGUUGAAGCGCACCAGUACGAAGUGCGCAGCAGCGACUGCACCGCUGAAACUUGGAUGACAGGGGUUUUUUGAAGCCGUCGAUGAGCGCGUUUGAAGCGGUGCCUUUUUGGUGAAGAUAAGGGGAUCGAGCUCUACCUGUGGUCCCCGCCUUCCGCCAGUCGGAUCAAUAUGAAAGUCCUGAUUUGUGUGAUCGCGCUGACCUUCGCGGCGAGGUCUGCACUCGGAG